rnacentral:misc_RNA from 1 species
GAAAUGCGAUAAGUAAUGUGAAUUGCAGAAUUCAGUGAAUCAUCGAAUCUUUGAACGCACCUUGCGCUCCUUGGUAUUCCUUGGAGCAUGCCUGUUUGAGUAUCAUGAAAUCUUCAAAGUAAAUCUUUUGUUAACUCAAUUGGCUUCUACUUUGGUAUUGGAGGUCUUUGCAGCUUCACACCUGCUCCUCUUUGUUCAUUAGCUGGAUCUCAGUGUUAUGCUUGGUUCCACUCGGCGUGAUAAGUUAUCUAUCGCUGAGGACACUGUAAAAGGUGGCCAAGGUAAAUGCAGAUGAACCGCUUCUAAUAGUCCAUUGACUUGGACAAUACUUUUAUGAUCUGAUCUCAAAUCAGGUACGACUACCCGCUGAACUUAAGC